rnacentral:rRNA from 1 species
AUUGAACGCUGGCGGCAUGCUUUACACAUGCAAGUCGAACGGUAACAGGCCGCAAGGUGCUGACGAGUGGCGAACGGGUGAGUAAUGCAUCGGAACGUGCCCAGUCGUGGGGGAUAACGCAGCGAAAGCUGUGCUAAUACCGCAUACGAUCUAUGGAUGAAAGCGGGGGACCGUAAGUCCUCGCGCGAUUGGAGCGGCAGAUGUCAGAUUAGGUAGUUGGUGGGGUAAAGGCUCACCAAGCCAACGAUCUGUAGCGGGUCUGAGAGGACGACCAGACACACUGGGACUGAGACGCGGCCCAGACUCCUACGGGAGGCAGCAGUGGGGAAUUUUGGACAAUGGGCGCAAGCCUGAUCCAGCAAUGCCGCGUGCAGGAAGAAGGCCUUCGGGUUGUAAACUGCUUUUGUACGGAACGAAAAGGUUUGGGUUAAUACCCUGGGCCGAUGACGGUACCGUAAGAAUAAGCACCGGCUAACUACGUGCCAGCCGCCGCCGUAA